CGCCUCUUGAAUUUCAUAAGAGGUCCAGCCUGCCCAGUGACACAAUUAAACGGCCGCGGUACCCUGACCGUGCGAAGGUAGCAUAAUCACUUGUUCUCUAAAUAAGGACUUGUAUCAACGGCAUCACGAGGGUUACACUGUCUCCUCUUUUUAAUCAGUGAAACUGACUUUCCCGUGAAGAGGCGGGAAUAGAGAUACAAGACGAGAAGACCCCAUGGAGCUUUAAACCCAAUAGUUACCUCUAUUUACUACUACUACUUAAUCAAGAAGGCCUAUCUACUGGUUUUAGGUUGGGGUGACCCUGGAGUAAAACUUAACCUCCACGAUGAAUAGAAUCUAUUCUAAUCCCAGAGCCACUGCUCUACGAAUCAAAAUUUUGACAUAAACUGAUCCGCCUAGCGAUCAACGAACCAAGUUACCCUGGGGAUAACAGCGCAAUCCAUUUCAAGAGCCCCUAUCGACAAAUGGGUUUACGACCUCGAUGUUGGAUCAGGGUAUCCCAGUGGUGCAGCCGCUACUAAAGGUUUGUUUGUUCAACAAUUAAAACCCU
rnacentral:rRNA from 1 species